rnacentral:rRNA from 1 species
UACAGAGGUCUCAAGCGUUGUUCGGAUUUACUGGGCGUAAAGGGUGUGUAGGCGGUUGGGUAAGUCUGAAGUGAAAUCUCUAAGCUCAACUUAGAAAAUGCUUCGGAUACUAUCCGGCUAGAGGGUCGGAGAGGAGAUCGGAAUUCUCGGUGUAGCAGUGAAAUGCGUAGAUAUCGAGAGGAACAUCAGUGGCGAAGGCGGAUCUCUGGACGAAUCCUGACGCUGAGGCACGAAAGCCAGGGUAGCAAACGGG